CAGGCCAAUGAGGUCGACAUGAUUGGCCAUGUGCCGCAGAUGCUGGGGAGUGAGACCCAGAUCCUCGGAGAAUUUCAUAAAGGGUUUCUGUACCUCCUCUAACCGGUAAACGGCUGCGGACGGACAAUGGCAUCGUUACAUGUACUCACGCGAGCAUCGAUCGCUCAUUACCACCACAUUGGGGUAUCCGUUGUCAAGCCACGAUCGUAACGUUUACAAACCGGGGUAAUUGCUUGCACAUUGCCAUUACCAGUGGAGAGCUUCGCAGGCCACCUUUUAGGUUUUAUUUCGGGGAGCCAUGUUUGGGGCAUUGGAUUCUUUGAUGAGGUCAUUGGAAAUAUCGACCACUGAUUGAUCGGAUUUUUUAUGGGGAGACGAGAAACUCGGAGUCUCGAGAGUUCGUCAGAAGUUACUACCAGCUGGAGCACUGUUGAUUCCACUGACUUGCUGCAAUCAUCCCUGCAGGGCUAACUGGACUUCGGACAAGUCUGUGAGUUGUACAGCUCAUUUUGAAACAUAGGUUCGGUGUUAUGAGGGGCUUGGGAUGCUGCCCGGGGAUGGAGAGAAUUAGAGAUAGUGGAGAAUUAGCUGUUUAAACUUGCUCGGGAUGUUAUUACCAGGAAGGUAACAGUUAUCUGUACUGACGGGAAAAUAUUGGAUAGCGAUGGAUUCUUUAAAAACAAGUUUAAUUAAUUAGAGAUUACAGAAUUUCUGAAUAAUUUUUCUGUUCUAGAAUUUCAUUAACUCUUGAGUGGAAUUUUGAUAAUCAUUUCUCCUUUGAAGCGUUAAUUCAAUUCAAAAUGUGCUGACAUUUCAUUUUUAAUUAGUCCGCCGGGCAUUCAAGCGUGUACAACAGAGUCGUUAGUCAAUUAUGAGUAAGGACGAAUGCAAUAGUUCUAGGAUAAAUGAGAUUAAUUAACGUGAGAAUGGUAGGGUAUGAAGUGUUCUUAUAUAAUAAGCUUAUAAAUCAUGGACUGGGUCAUUAAGCUUCAACCACGACAUUGUGAGGCGCCAUUACCUCGAUAUCUUGAAUCUUGUUCUGUAUCCGGCUCAGUGUCAGGGGAUAGAAUCUUCACCUCUUGAAUGCAUAUUCAGUGUUGGACGGUGGCCGUCGCAACGGCAAAUGUUGCCUCCGAAUGAGUUCUCAAUCUCUUUCAUUGCCGUCUCGGGAGUCCGCAUCGGGCUGUGGUGAAUGACGUGGUUGUAUUCAGGUGGGAAUAUGGUAUGGGUUUGAUUUUAGAUAUUAAAAGUUCCAUUCAUCUGACGAGGGCAGAUGAUGCCUUCGAGGAAUUGUAUAAAACUUAUUUUUUGUUAAUGGAUAUUGUUGAUCGUUUUAUUUCUGACCUGGAGAGUUAACAAUCAAUUACUCAUUGAUGAGUAAUAUUGCCGAUGUUUGGGAGGGCAGAAUGGUUAAUUCUGGUUUCAAAUUUGAGAUUAAAAAACGAGAAAAAAAUUAUCACGAGGGCCUCAUCGUGGAAAAACAACUCACGAGAAUGGAAAGGCUUUUCGAAGCAGGAAAAAACGUUAUGAAUUCACGGAAGCGAGGAUUGAGAGGCAGUGGUGGGUAGCCUCGCGCAGUGCAAUAGCACUUAGUCACCCCAACGACAAGUCUCACCCAUUGCAAAUGAGGACUGGCACGAAACAUGAGUUCACUGCUAGAGUUCCCACCGCGAAUCUCAGCUAACCCCUUUGCGACCCACCCUAGCCACCCUUAUUCAUAGUACAUCACUUUCGUUCCACGUAAUAACGCUCGGUCUCUUGGAGCGAGAAAAAAAAAAGUACAAACAUUGUGAGUGACAUUUCUGGUUGGGUUGCUGCAGAAACUCGAGAAAUGGAAAAAAAAUUAAUAUGGGAUAUGUUUGGAACGAGGAAGCCAUCUUUCAUUUCUCCUCAUAUGUAUUUAUGGUAUAAUGAUAUUUUCCAUUUGAAAUAAA